AUGCGAAACCGCGAUCAUUUUGCCGCCAUUGGCAAGGUGAUCGCGGUCAUCAGGGUGCGGCGAUCCUGAUCUGAUGAGCAGCCAAGA
rnacentral:hammerhead_ribozyme from 2 species